AUUGAACGCUGGCGGCAGGCUUAACACAUGCAAGUCGAGAGGGGUGAUGGUGCUUGCACUAUCACUUCGCGGCGGACGGGUGAGUAAUGCUUAGGAAUCUGCCUAUUAGUGGGGGACAACAUCUCGAAAGGGAUGCUAAUACCGCAUACGUGCUACGGGAGUAAGCAGGGGAUCACUUGUGACCUUGCGCUACUAGAUGAGCCGAAGUCGGCUUAGCUAGUUGGUGGGGUAAAGGCCUAACAAGGCGACGAUCUGUAGCGGGUCUGAGAGGAUGAUCCGCCAGACUGGGACUGAGACACGGCCCAGACUCCUACGGGAGGCAGCAGUGGGGAAUAUUGGACAAUGAGGGGAACCCUGAUCCAGCCAUGCCGCGUGUGUGAAGAAGGCCUUAUGGUUGUAAAGCACUUUAAGCGAGGAGGAGGCUCUUUUGGUUAAUACCCAAGAUGAGUGGACGUUACUCGCAGAAUAAGCACCGGCUAACUCUGUGCCAGCCGCCGCCGUAA
rnacentral:rRNA from 1 species